GUCCUCACUUAUCAUAAGUUAAGUAUCAUAAGUUAAAAUCCUGGAUAGUUUUUUUAUUUAUGAGAAUAAAGCUAUAUACAAUUAUACAUCAACAUCCAUAUUAUAAUCACGGUAUGCACAUGCACAUCAGGAAAAAAGAUAUUUGUAAAUAUUAUCUUUAUAGUUAACAUUUGUUGCACUACAAUUUAUAUAAAAUUACAUCUAUUUUAUUUCAUUUGUCUUAUUUUAAUAAAUCUUGAAUUAUUCCAUAUAACUUGCAGUUCUUGUUCUCGGACUCUGGAUCUAAUAUUGCGUAUAUCUAUCUUUCUUAGACCUGGAUUUAAAAAAAUCAUCUGGCUCGUAUUUAUUAUUGUUGUAAACACUAUUAGUUGGAAUUAUAAUAUUGAGAUAAAUUGAAAACCAUUGUUAAUUAUAAGAGGACUAAAUAUAUAUAUAUAUAUAUAUAUUGUCAUUCUACAUCAUAAUUAUUCUCACUUCCGUCCUUAAUAAUCAUUUUCAAUUUAUAUAUGUUUUGCUUACGUUAAAUGGUAUUAUAACAACAAUAAUGAUGAUCAAAAUGAAAAUGGUUUUACACAUAUAAAUUGGAUUUUGAUUUUUUAGAUAUAGGGACCAAAUUGUAAACAGGGUUGAGAAGAAAAAUAUAAUUCUAACACACAUAAAAAUGAAAACAUAAUGGAAUAAAAAAUUGGACUUACGAGCAGCCAAGAGAAGAAUGAGGAAGAAGCAGAGUCCAGUCUUUCGCUAUUUAUAGAGCUCUGGGUAGGAAUAGCAACAUGGUAGGUCAGGUCAGAUUUGUACUUACCUAAUCUCAAACUCGAAAUCCAAAACCCGAGCUUGAAUUAAACAGUCACUAUUCAAGACAAUGAUUUAAUAUAUGAAUCCGACAAAAAUAUGUCCAAAACAUAUAUUUCUAUAUGUAUAGGUUCUAUAUAUGUGUGUCGAAUUUCUAUAUAUUGAUUUUAUAUAUGUAUUUAUAUGUAAUUUUAUAAUUUCACAUAUAUUAAUCGGGUUCGGGACAUGUUUGGGAUAGGAUAUC